rnacentral:rRNA from 1 species
AUGAGCGCGGAGACCGACGAGACGGCGGCCGGCGGGCUCGCGGGGGAGAUGGAGGUCGAGGCGUACCGCCGCCUCUUCCCCCUCGCGUUCCUCGAGCGUCACCUCCGCGAGUCCGUCCGGCCUGAUGCCCGCCGCCUCGCCGAAGCCCGCCCCACCACCGUCGCGCUCGGCGCCGUCUCCUCCGCGCACGGCUCUGCCCUCGUCCGCCUCGGUGACACCGCCAUGCUCGCGUCGAUCAAGCUCGAGGUGAUGUCGCCCCCUGCCGAGACCCCGGACCAAGGAUCAGUCGCUGUGGAGUUUCACAUGCCGCCUAUCUGCUCCCCGCUUGUAAGACCAGGACGGCCAGCAGAGGCUGCGCCGGUCAUCUCCAAGGCCCUGGAGGAUGUCCUCAUGAGCUCUGGGAUGUUAAAUUUGAAGGAGCUCUGUUUGAUCAGUGGGAAGGCUUCGUGGGUAGCAUAUCUGGAUGUCUAUUGUUUGAAUGCUGAUGGAUCUCUGUUUGAUGCUGCACUGAUCUCAGUGGUGGCUGCAUUUACACAUUUGGAAAUUCCCCUAGUAUCUGUUGGUGAUGAUGGUAGAGUGUUUACUGUUGGAGGCAAUGAAGGCAAAACCAAAUAUGAAUUGGUAAACAGAGAAAAGAGGAAGCUUACUCUUGGUGACAUUCCAUUUCCUCUCACAUGUGCACUUCACAAGGAUAGUAUUCUAGCGGACCCAACUGCUGAAGAGGAAUCAAUAAUAGAGACCUCUGUGACAGUUGUUCUAGAUUCUUCCGGACGCUUAGUGUCAAUACAGAAACCUGGAGGUGGAGUGACGUCCAUGGCAACAAUUAAGGCGUGCAUUGGCUUGGCAAAAGAAAGAGGACAAAAGUUGAAGGAAAUACUCACGGACUCCGUUGAAGCAAUGGAAGUCGACCAAGCUGAAUAA